CCAGAACGCGGUGAUACCACCCGCACGUAUAGACGGACAAGAAUAGGCUUCGGCUUAGUGUCUUAGCAGGCGAUUCUUCCACGGCGCUCGAAGCGUGUCGUGGUAUUUCGCGUAUUGUAAUUUCAACACGAGCGGGGUCAAAUCCUUUGCAGACGACUUAGCUGUGCGAAACGGUCCUGUAAGCAGUAGAGUAGCCUUGUUGUUACGAUCUGCUGAGGGUAAGCCGUCCUUCGCCUCGAUUU
rnacentral:rRNA from 1 species